CAAUGGCUCGGAACCGAGCUCGAAAGGCUCGGAGCCGAGCUCGAAUGGUUCGGAAUCCUUAUCUUCUUAUCUUCCUUAUCUUUAUCUUAUCUUUAUCUUCUUAUCUUCCUUAUCCUUAUCUUUAUCUUCUUAUCUUCCUUAUCUUUAUCUCCUUAUCUUCUUAUCUUUAUCUUCUUAUCUUCCUUAUCAUUAUCUUUAUCUUCUUAUCUUUAUCUCCUUAUCUUUAUCUUCUUAUCUUCCUUAUCCUUAUCUUUAUCUUCUUAUCUUCCUUAUCUUUAUCUUCUUAUCUUCCUUAUCUUUAUCUCCUUAUCUUCUUAUCUUUAUCUUCUUAUCUUUAUCUUCUUAUCCUUAUCUUUAUAGGCUCCAUAGGCUCGGAGCCGAGCUCCUUAGGUUCGGAGCCGAGCUCCUUAAGCUCGGAGCCAAGCUCCUUAGGCUCGAAGCCGAGCUCCUUAGACUCGGAGCCGAGCUCCUUAGGCUCAGAGCCGAGCUCGUUAGGCUCGGAACCG